AGCAGCCGCGGUAAUUCCAGCUCCAAUAGCGUAUAUUAAAGUUGUUGCAGUUAAAAAGCUCGUAGUUGAAUUUCGAGACCGGCUUACUGGUCGUGCUAUUGUGCGUACUGGUAUAAUCGGUUUCUCCUUUCUGACGAACUAUAAUGCCAUUAAUUUGGUGUUAUAGGGAAUCAGGACUGUUACUUUGAAAAAUUAAAGUGUUUAAAGCAGGCUCGCGCUUGAAUACAUUAGCAUGGAAUAAUGAAAUAGGACGUUUGACCCUAUUUUGUUGGUUUCUAGGAUCGACGUAAUGAUUAAUAGGGAUAGUUGGGGGCAUUAGUAUUCAAUUGUCAGAGGUGAAAUUCUUGGAUUUAUUGAAGACUAACUACUGCGAAAGCAUUUGCCAAGGAUGUUUUCAUUAAUCAAGAACGAGAGUUAGGGGAUCGAAGACGAUCAGAUACCGUCGUAGUCUUAACCAUAAACUAUGCCGACUAGGGAUCGGAUGAUGUUAUUUUUAAUGACUCAUUCGGCGCCUUACGGG
rnacentral:misc_RNA from 1 species